CUCAUAAAAAUAAAAGUGUUUGCUGCUUGAGCUGAAUCCCUUCCCAACACUAAAAAAUCAUCCGUAUGUAUCAGUUCUUCUGUUUUCUUCCCCAGGCUUUCCAACAGAUAUUCUUGGAGGAGUCAGCCAUGGCUAGGUUUAUAAAAAUGAACAGGAACAGGUGUUACAGUGAAGGAGAGUUUGCUGAAGAAAAUGAUCCGGGAAAAAUACCGUGCAGAAAAAGCUGAAAAUGUACGUGACAGGUUUUGAUGUGAAGGUGUAUUAAAGAAGAGACUGGAAACAAUUUCCAGAAGUGAAGAAGCUGAUUUACAUUCAAGGAUACUCUUCCAUCAAAAAGGAAGUUUACCUGGGCUAACUGCUGGGUGGGAAUGUCCUUUGAAAUGAUGUUGAUUGUACCUUGGUUCAAAGAGCUCUUUGAAAUUCCUGUAAUGCAAUUAUGCUAAGUCAGAGGAAGUUAAAGGAUUGUGUAUUGGAAAAAUGCAGUUAGAAUCCGAGUUGAAGUCAUGUGUCAAAAGUGCUAUUGAUGAUAACAUUGACACCUGCCUGCGAUAACUUCAAAGUCUUCUCUCAGUAUGUAAGUUCACUGAGCUCAGCUGGCACAGGGACAAACCAAGACAAAGACACUGGUCCAGACCUUCAAGAAGUGUGAAUGGAACUGUGUCACUUCACAACAGCACAUCAAACCUGAGCUCACUGCCUUUUAACAUAGAGAAUACAAUGACUGCUCCCCACCAAAUGAAGCCCAGCAUUUGUGCACCUACAGCUGUUAGUCAUAGACAGAAAGGGAUCUCUGUGACUAUCUGCUUUCACCAUGCUGUUGGAAAAAAUAAAAGUGCUCUGUGUGAGCUACUGAGGAAAGAU
rnacentral:lncRNA from 1 species